GUAGCUCAGUUGGAUAGAGCAUCGGCCUUCUAAGCCGAGGGUCACAGGUUCGAAUCCUGUC
rnacentral:tRNA from 2 species